GCCCAGACUCCUACGGGAGGCAGCAGUGGGGAAUAUUGCACAAUGGGGGAAACCCUGAUGCAGCGACGCCGCGUGAGCGAUGAAGUAUUUCGGUAUGUAAAGCUCUAUCAGCAGGGAAGAAGAUGACGGUACCUGUUUAGAAAGCUCCGGCUAACUACGUGCCAGCAGCCGCGGUAAUACGUAGGGAGCAAGCGUUGUCCGGAAUUACUGGGCGUAAAGGGCGCGUAGGUGGGCGCUUAAGUCAGGUGUGAAAACUCCGGGCUCAACCUGGAGACUGCACUUGAAACUGGGUGUCUUGAGGGCAGGAGGGGAAAGUGGAAUUCCUAGUGUAGCGGUGAAAUGCGUAGAUAUUAGGAGGAACACCAGUGGCGAAGGCGACUUUCUGGACUGUACCUGACGCUGAGGCGCGAAAGCGUGGGUAGCGAACGGGAUUAGAUACCCGAGUAGA
rnacentral:rRNA from 1 species